rnacentral:misc_RNA from 1 species
CACGAAUGCCCCAAGCGUUAUCCGGAAUUACUGGGCGUAAAGGGUCCGCAGGCGGCUCUGUUAGUCCGGCGUUAAAUCACGAGGCUUAACCUCGUGGCUGCGUCGGAAACGGCAGAGCUUGAGGGUGUGAGAGGUGAGUGGAACCGACGGUGUAGGGGUGAAAUCCGUUGAUAUCGUCGGGAACACCAAAUGCGAAGGCAACUCACUGGCACAUUCCUGACGCUCAUGGACGACAGCUAAGGUAGCGAACGGG